rnacentral:rRNA from 1 species
UACGUAGGGGGCGAGCGUUGUCGGGAAUGACUGGGCGUAAAGGGCGUGUAGGCGGCCGAUUAAGUAUGGAGUGAAAGUCCUGCUUUCAAGGUGGGAAUUGCUUUGUAGACUGGUUGGCUUGAGUGCAGAAGAGGUAAGUGGAAUUCCCAGUGUAGCGGUGAAAUGCGUAGAUAUUGGGAGGAACACCAGUGGCGAAGGCGACUUACUGGACUGUAACUGACGCUGAGGCGCGAAAGUGUGGGGAGCAAAC